rnacentral:tRNA from 1 species
CGCCGGCAUGGGCGGGCGCCGCGCCGGUGUUCGGCGCGCGUGCGCCGGCCGAGCGCGCGACGGCGUUCGAGCCGCCGGCCGACAUCC